rnacentral:lncRNA from 1 species
UGGGUGGCAGUGGUGAUGCGAUGGCCUAGGGAGCGUAUCCAAUUGUCGUUACAGAGUUUCUACUGGACUGUUCUAUUCUUCGUGUUAAUCAUUUUCAGUUUUACAAGAGGCAAUGAACUAUUGCACCUAUGAGGAUCCGUCUUGUCCUCGACUUGUGAUUUUGAGAACAUUGAUCUUCUCCGCAACAAUAAUCAUUUUCACAGCAUCUACUGCACCAGGUGCCAUGUUUUGCAACAAUAAUUAUUUGGAUCACCAGGUGCUCCCUAAUGUGCAAAUAGAUCAGGCAAUGGACAACAACACAAGGAAGAGCUACAUGGAGCAUCAAGUAGCUUGCCACAUCUUGCCAGCCUCAACUGUGGUGCACCACGAGUAAAAGGUUGCUGUUUGGUUCAGACCUUAGAUUUGGCAGCCACUGAAUUUGCAGUUGAAAAACACGCCAUACUUGUGGCAGCCUUUUU